CAUAACACGUUGAAACACCGAUUCUCGUGCGAUCACCGAAGUUAAGCAACGUCCGGCCUGGUCAGAACUGUAGCUAUAUAGGUGAGCGCCUGGGAAUAAAAGGUGCUGCAAA